UUAGGCUAUGGGGAUAUGUACCCCCAAACAUGGUCAGGGAUGUUGGUGGGGGCCUUGUGUGCUCUGGCUGGAGUGCUGACCAUAGCUAUGCCUGUGCCCGUCAUUGUCAACAAU
rfam:Rat potassium channel Kv3.2b mRNA.